GAUGCAGGAAGGAAGAGUUGAGAGGAUGAGGGGGAAAAAGAGGGAGGCGGCACGGUGGGUGUCACUGCCGCCGUCGCCGCCGCUGUCGAUAGGAGAAGAGAGGGAGAUCUGAGAGAGCUGAACGGGAAGAGAGGGGAAGAGACCUCGCUGCCGCGCCUAGUCCGCUGCGUGCCUCGUCGCACCGCCGUCCAGACCGCGUCCUUGUCAUCGCGAGCUGUUGCCAUCGCCAACCAGGACCCAUCGUUGUCGCCGUUCCCUGCGCCACCGUCGCGCCCAGCCUUGUCGUCGAGUCGCCGCGCAGUCACUCCAAGGAAGAACUCUUGCGGGAAGAGAGAGAAGAUGCUGUCAAGGAUCCCGACGCCAUCAGUCUGUCUCACGCCGCCGUUGAGGAAGCUCGUCACCGCCGUGCUUCCAUCAGCGCCGUGAAUCUGCUUCAUCGUCGAACUGAGCUAUAGAAGGAAGGGUUAGAACGUGACGGGAAAGAGAGACACCUUCCACCGCUGUCUCGCUGCCAGAGCUGUGUCACCGCCACGAACUGCCGCCGUUCUGGCAGCCGGAAGCCGCCGCCGAGCCUUUGCCUUUUUGGUAAGCGUUUUACUUCCAGAACUUUUGAAAUCAAAUAUUCCAAUACAAGUUAUUAGAGGCUCUGAGCUGUUGGUAUUGUAGAAUUGAGUUCCGAUGAUUUAAUAUCAAAGUUAAGGUUGUUGUUGGACUAUCGGAGUUUCUAGCCGCUGUCAGAGCUACCGCCGGGUCAGCUCGGGUUUGCGGCUGUUCCAUUUUACUCUUAUUGAUUGGGUUACCAGGAUUAUCUGUUGCAAUUAAAGUUGUUUCUGCUAUUGCGGAAGUGAGCAGACCUGUGAUUGAAGCUGCAGUUGAUUUCGGGCGGAGAGGAAUGGUUCUUGUGACGCCUUUAAUUUAUGGGUUCAACUUUCGAGCUUUAUCUUUUCAGGAACCGGAUGAAGAAGCAUUAAGAAGAGUUAUACUGCGUUUGGUUUACAUGUUUUAAUUAGUUUAUUUUCUACCCUCGACUUUGUUAUUAUAAAUUUGUAAGAGGGAUAUGAAUUGUGUGUUUUAUAUGUAUAUUAUAUUAUGAGUUAUUAUGUAAGGAGUCUUGUAUAUGAAUCUAUGCCUGCUUGUAUUUUUCUUAAAAUAAAGUAUUUAUUUCCGGUUUUAAAAGAAAUCAGCGAUACAAUGUCGAGUCACAGGCUCCUAUUUUUAGUAUUUAGUAUGUAAAGUAGUCGUAAUACUUCUUGCUACCAGAGUAGCGCAGCCGGAAGCGUGACUUCUAAUAGUGAGGGUGUUACAUUAGUCAUUUACAUUGAGAAAGAAAUUGCAGCUAUUUUCA